AGCAGUAGCCGCGGUAAUACGAAGGGGGCUAGCGUUGUUCGGAAUCACUGGGCGUAAAGGGUGCGUAGGCGGGCAUUUAAGUCAGGGGUGAAAUCCCGAGGCUCAACCUCGGAACUGCCCUUGAUACUGGAUGUCUCGAGUCCGGAAGAGGUGAGUGGAACUGCGAGUGUAGAGGUGGAAUUCGUAGAUAUUCGCAAGAACACCGGUGGCGAAGGCGGCUCACUGGUCCGGAACUGACGCUGAGGCACGACAGCGUGGGGAGCAAACAGGAUUAGAUACCCCAGUAGUCCCUGUCUCUUAUAC
rnacentral:rRNA from 1 species